rnacentral:misc_RNA from 1 species
CAACCAAUCCAGCGUGCUGGGUCUUGGGCCUCGCCUUCGGGCGGGCCUUAAAAUCAGUGGUGGCGCCUCCCGGCUCUAAGCGUAGUAAUUCUUCUCGCUACAGGGUCCCGGGUGGAGGCUGGCCAGCAACCCCUAAUUCUCAAA